rnacentral:rRNA from 1 species
AUUGAACGCUGGCGGCAUGCUUUACACAUGCAAGUCGAACGGUAACAGGUUAAGCUGACGAGUGGCGAACGGGUGAGUAAUGCAUCGGAACGUGCCCGGUCGUGGGGGAUAACGCAGCGAAAGCUGCGCUAAUACCGCAUACGAUCUGAGGAUGAAAGCGGGGGACCGUAAGGCCUCGCGCGAUCGGAGCGGCCGAUGUCAGAUUAGGUAGUUGGUGGGGUAAAGGCUCACCAAGCCGACGAUCUGUAGCUGGUGUGAGAGGACGACCAGCCACACUGGGACUGAGACACGGCCCAGACUCCUACGGGAGGCAGCAGUGGGGAAUUUUGGACAAUGGGCGCAAGCCUGAUUCAGCAAUGCCGCGUGCAGGAAGAAGGCCUUCGGGUUGUAAACUGCUUUUGUACGGAGCGAAAAGGCUCUCUCUAAUACAGGGGGCUCAUGACGGUACCGUAAGAAUAAGCACCGGCUAACUACGUGCCAGCCGCCGCAGUAAGAC